rnacentral:rRNA from 1 species
UAUUCCUGUACUUGGUGUUACUGCGAAGGGGGGACGGAGAAGGCUAUGUUAGCCGGGCGACGGUUGUCCCGGUUUAAGCAUGUAGGCUGGUUAUCCAGGCAAAUCCGGAUAAUCAAGGCUGAGGUGUGAUGACGAGGCACUACGGUGCUGAAGUAACAAAUGCCCUGCUUCCAGGAAAAGCCUCUAAGCAUCAGGUAACAUCAAAUCGUACCCCAAACCGACACAGGUGGUCAGGUAGAGAAUACCAAGGCGCUU